UCCGAAUUGGUGUAGUGGCUAACAUUUGACGCUCUCAUUAUACUAUGGUGUGCCGUCAAGCCCGGGGUUCGAUUCCCCGAUUCGGAG